rnacentral:rRNA from 1 species
UACGGAGGGGGCUAGCGUUGCUCGGAAUCACUGGGCGUAAAGCGCACGUAGGCGGAUUGUUAAGUCAGGGGUGAAAUCCUGGAGCUCAACUCCAGAACUGCCUUUGAUACUGGAGAGCUUGAGUCCGGAAGAGAUGAGUGGAACUCCGAGUGUAGAGGUGAAAUUCGUAGAUAUUCGGAAGAACACCAGUGGCGAAGGCGGCUCACUGGUCCGGUACUGACGCUGAGGUGCGAAAGCGUGGGGAGCAAACAGG